UGAUGAUCUGUCGACCAGAUAUUUACUGUAUCUCUUUCUCAUCCGUUCUACAAGGGUUGUUCGAAGUCAUCUUAAUUGGAGAUACUAGACGGUUGCCUUAUGAUCAGUUUCAUUUGCUUUGGUAUUUUCUUUGAAGGGAUGAAUUUUGAAGCAUCUGGUUGGGUCUAUGUCCAGAACAAUGUCGGCGAAGGCUCUGAUUUUGGAUAGAAAGCUUAUCAAAGUUAUUAAGGUUCAAAGUCUCCGUCUGAUCAUACUAAUUUUGUGGCGUCCAUGCUGUAUGGACUUAUUCAGUUUUCCACGGGUGCUUGUUCCAGUUUAGAGCAAUCCAACUAAGGACUGUGUAAUCAAAACUGUUAGAGAAUCCAAGUUCUUGAGUUGGGAAGGCAGGAGGUUAUUAUUUAAUGCAAUUAUGUUUAGUUGAGCUACUGAAUUGUUGUUUUCCUUUUUGGAUCAGAGUGAUGAGUGGGUUUUGGAUCUUUCUACAGGGAUUGUCUGAUUCUUUUAUUUUCAAGGAUUAGAGGAGAUGCGAUGAACAUAUAGUUCUCUCAUGUUGUGAGUUGGAGUCCUUUUGUUGCAGAUCUUUUUGAAUUCGACCUGGUUUGUGUUGUAGUGUAUUUGAGUUAGCAAGCUUUUGCUUUUUGCUUCUCCUGGGGUAUUUUUCGUACAAGUGGUUUGUGUCAUGCUCUCUAUCUUUGUCUACAAACCUCACUGGAUAAAACUUCAAUUACUACAAUUGAGCCUUGUGUCCAAGGCUAAGUCUUGUUGUUGGUUAGGUUGGUCAUAUGUGGCUACUUUUUGCUGCUUCUGGGGGUAUUUUUGGUAUAAUUGGUUAAUUUUGGGUGCCAGUUCA
rnacentral:lncRNA from 1 species